AAAAACCAUGAUUACCUGAACCUUAAGAAUUUUUGGAGCUUUGGAAUUGUUUUGGGAAUAAGUGUGGUCUCUUAGGAGUUGCAGAUGAAUUGGCUAGUGAGUCCUCUUCUUGCGGUUCUAUUGUAAAUAUCAUGUAUCUUGUCUUUUGAAUUGUAUGUUGAAUAGAAAAAGAAAAGAGAAAAAAGAAAAAAAAAGAAAAGAAAAAAAAUACAAAAAAAAAAUAAAUUUGUGAAUAAUGAAGUCAAGAAGAGGAUGGAAUUAGAGGUUGUGGGUGUGUUUGAAGGUGUUUACACUUGUUCCCCAUUGCUCCUCUGUUCCUUUUGGUUUGUAGCUUCUUAUCCAGAUGUAUCCUCCCUUGUCCUUGGCC
rnacentral:lncRNA from 1 species